UAUCAAAGAGAUCAUAUUAGAGGAUUUGAAGAAUGCAAAAUCAUUGAUCGAAUGGAUUGCAUGGGCAGAACCUCAAUAUGACUUCAACCCAAUGAUUGAUGAAUGGUGCAAGGAGGCACCCAAGGAACUUGAUUUCAAUCAUGAAGCAGAGAACACUAGGACCGUCUCGAAGAAUCUUAGUUGGAAAACCAAAGGUGGGAG